AAUGAACGUUGGCGGCGUGGAUUAGGCAUGCAAGUCGUGCGAUAACCGUAGCAAUACGGCGAAAGCGGCGAAAGGGAGAGUAAUGCGUGGAUACCUACCCCCAGGUCCAGGAUAGCCGCGGGCAACUGCGGGUAAUACUGGAUGACGUCCCCGGACCAAAGGUGUGAUUCCGCCCGGGGAUGGGUGCGCGUCCUAUUAGCUUGUUGGCAGGGUAAUGGCCUACCAAGGCAAAGAUGGGUACGGGGUGUGAGAGCAUGCCCCCGCUCACUGGGACUGAGACACUGCCCAGACACCUACGGGUGGCUGCAGUCGAGGAGCUUCGGCAAUGGGCGCAAGCCUGACCGAGCGACGCCGCGUGCGGGAUGAAGGCCUUCGGGUUGUAAACCGCUGUCAGAGGGGAGGAAAUGCCGGUGGGUUCUCCCAUCGGUUUGACCUAUCCUCAGAGGAAGGACGGGCUAAGUUCGUGCCAGCAGCCGCCGUAA
rnacentral:rRNA from 1 species